CCCUACCACAGUAUUGAGCAAUCCUAUAUUAUUAUAGAACCUAUUAUGCUAAAAUUAGUAACACGAAGAACCCCCUUCUCUACGAUUCAAACAUAAAUCAGGCCGGACAAGCCACUGAUAAUUAACGCCAAUGAGCCACCAGCGGCAACUAAACAAGAAAAUCCCGCUUUCAUAUGCGUUAACCUAACACAAGCGAAUCACAAGAAAGAUUUAAAAAAGCGGAAGGAACUCGGCAAAUCUCAGCCCCGCCUGUUUACCAAAAACAUCGCCUCUUGUCCCCAUAAGAGGUCCAGCCUGCCCAGUGACCCAAUUCAACGGCCGCGGUAUCCUGACCGUGCGAAGGUAGCGUAAUCACUUGUUCUUUAAAUAAGGACUAGUAUGAACGGCAUCACGAAGGCUGUACUGUCUCCCGCCUUUAAUCAGUGAACUUAAUCUCCCCGUGAAGAAGCGGGGAUAAACUCAUAAGACGAGAAGACCCCAUGGAGCUUUAAACAAAGGGCACCUGCUAACCCAGCUACCCAAGGCAAGCAUUUUGACCCAGCGUUUUCGGUUGGGGCGACCACGGAGAACAACCCACCCUCCAUGCUGAAAGACACCCUCUAAGCCAAAAUAAACCUAUUUAAGCAUCAGCACCCUGACACCCAUUGACCCAAUAUACUUGAUCAACGAACCAAGUUACCCUGGGGAUAACAGCGCAAUCCACUUCAAGAGCCCCUAUCGACAAGUGGGUUUACGACCUCGAUGUUGGAUCAGGGUACCCAAGUGG
rnacentral:rRNA from 1 species